UUAGACCGAGGCUGAAGAUGAUGUGUGUUGCUUUUUGAUUGGCUAGCACAUGUUUUUAUCUUUUGUGACUUAAAAUGAGUGUGGCCGAUUGAUAUAUGUCCACAUGAUUUUUUUGUUUUAUUUUAAUGUCACGCCCUCCAAAUCUGAUUUUAAGUGAAAUGGAUCAUGGGCUUGCAUGCUUCGCUGUUCCUACCCCUAGUUUUAGGCCCAUGCGCAUGAUUAACUUGGUUACAGUUCAUUUCAUUUUUGCUUAUUCACCCCCAUUUACCAAUUGAUUUGUUUUU
rnacentral:lncRNA from 1 species